UACGGGGGGGGCAAGCGUUGUUCGGAAUUACUGGGCGUAAAGGGCUCGUAGGCGGCCAACUAAGUCGGAUGUGAAAUCCCCAAGCUUAACUGGGAACUGCAUCCGAUACUGGAUGGCUUGAAUCGGGAGAGGGAUGCAGAAUUCCAGGUGUAGCGGUGAAAUGCGUAGAUAUCUGGAGGAAUACCGGUGGCGAAGGCGGCAUCCU
rnacentral:rRNA from 1 species